UACGGAUCCAGUUCAGCCCACCGUUCUCUGCCCACACCAACGACCCUCAAGUUCCCUACACCAAAGAGGAGCAACGCUUGCUGUGCCCUACAUGCAUGGUCCCAGAAAUUCAUCGGGGAGAGAGGCUUCCCUGGGCCUAUCCGGCUUGGCACGCAAACAGCUGCUCCGGGCGUUGGUGUGGGCAGAGAACGGUGGGCUGGGCUGGAUCCGGUAUGGUAUUAAACUGUUGUCCGUUUGCUUAUUCUUUGGUUGCUUGUGUCCUUCUUCAACGGCAGAAUGGACAGGGGGACCCGCGAGUGGGAUAAAUAUUCCCACAAGUGGCGCCCAACGUGGGGCUCGGCUCCCAAUCGCCUGAGUCUGCAGACUAUGAACGCUGCACUGACUUCGGAAGGCGAUGGGGAGAAUCGGCUCUGUGGACGGGUCCUGUCUAUUCGGUUGGAGAAGGGUUCGGUUCUUCUUUCCUUUUCUUGUGGUUGUUUUACCGGUGACCCUCAAGCGUGUUUACUGUUCGUUCUCUAGCACCCACUUCGGAUCCUGGAGCACUGAUUGCCCCGUGUGCAAUUCCUUGGUUGCGGCGCACAGAGCCUGAUUACGAGCCUAUCCGACUCGCGAUCCUGAGGAAGCCAGGUCUCACCACAGGGUACAUUUAUGCGACCCGUAGGACCAGUCUUGACAUGUCGCCAGCCCCAAGAGCAGGACCAGCUGCAGCCAGGACGAGAACUUCGAAUGGGCAUGACUCCCGGCAUGACCGUGGGAACAGCGCCAGCCCAGGUGGACAACGUGGUGGACUGCGUGGACACUCUCGACGGCAACCUUGACCGUGGUAGCUGAUGGUCGACCAAUAUCCUGGGCUUCCUCCGCUAAGUGGUCUUCCCAGCAACGUCUGCUUCGCGGCGACGGCCCGCAGCGCGUGUUGCCCCCUUUCAACGGUCUCACGCUCGAAGACCGCCACCCCAACGACCCUCAAGUUCCCUACACGGAAGAGGAGCAACGCUUGCUGUGCCCUACAUGCAUGGUCCCAGGAAUUAAUCGGGGAGAGAGGCUUCCCUGGGCCUAUCCGGCUUGGCACGCAGACAGCUGCUCCGGGCGUUGGUGUGGGCAGAGAACGGUGGGCUGGACUGGAUCCGGUAUGGUAUUAAACUGUUGUCCGUUUGCUUAUUC